CCGGCAGCCCGUCCGGCUCCGACGCUCCGCAGCUGGCAGGUUAUUUUUGCCGCCGUUUACUUAAUAUGGUCAGAUAGGGAACGGCACGAGAAGAGAGCCCUUGCCGGGCGAGGCUUGUUUCAGAUGCUUAGUUGGGUAUAUAAGUACUCGAGGAGUGCACGCUGCCGCACUAUAAACUUCAUGGCAUUUCUUAUUUUCAGUCUUGUUGCUUCAUUCUCAGCGAGAUCUCCAGGUUUGGAUUUUAAGUUCAUAUAUUUCGACCCGUCCAGUUCCUCUUCGGAGGAAAGAAAAGGAGCUCAGAUGUCUCGGACAAGCAGAUGCCUCAUGUAAUAAUUCUGCUUCAGUGCGGAGAAAGUGCGCGCAUGCAAAGCCUUUCAACAUUUCAAGGAAAAGCCCCAAGCCAAGGGCACAGCCUUUGUCUCUCAGAGACGCACCUUGCGCAUGAAGUCGCCUGCAGUUCUUGACCCACUGAGAAUAUAAAAGGCUCCGGUGUCUCGCGUUAUUAAGGGACGGUUGGAAUGACUUCAUUCAUCGCUGGACCGUCCUGAAGGACCCGCUCCGCUCCGCUCAAGGCUUGAAUGCUUUGCUAAAGCUGGUAAAAUGGAACCAAAUCAACUGUUGAAUGGAUUUGGUCCCCUUCAACCAGCUGCAGCUGUGCAUUGAUCACUCUGACCCGGAAUCCCUCCCGGAGCCCAAGAGAUGCCUGACGUUCCAAGAUCCGUCGCCCAGACGAGCUGUAAUCUGGGGCUGGGGCUGUUCCAUGAAGCGCUCGCCGGCUAAUUCUGUAUUAAGCGAGACUGGAAAAGACUCAGAAUGUGAAUAUUCCCCGUGUAUUAAUCUGAAGGGGCACAGAGGGUGGACGAGGUAUAGAUAACGCUCUUUAUGUUCACAGCGACCCGUGGGUUUCGUUUAUACAGACUGUAAACUUUUCAAAUGAAUGAUUAAAAAAAUACCUUUAAAAAUGUAA